rnacentral:rRNA from 1 species
GAGUUUGAUCAUGGCUCAGGAUGAACGCUAGCGACAGGCUUAACACAUGCAAGUCGAGGGGCAGCGGUGGUGAAGGCUUGCCUUCACCAGCCGGCGACCGGCGCACGGGUGAGUAACACGUAUGCAACCUGCCUGCCACAGCCGGAUAAUCGGGAGAAAUUCCGUCUAAUACGGCAUAAUGCAUCGACGGGACAUCCUGUUGGUGCCAAAGGUUAAUUCCGGUGGCGGAUGGGCAUGCGUCGCAUUAGUUAGUUGGCGGUGUAACGGACCACCAAGACGACGAUGCGUAGGGGUUCUGAGAGGAAGGUCCCCCACACUGGUACUGAGACACGGACCAGACUCCUACGGGAGGCAGCAGUGAGGAAUAUUGGUCAAUGGGCGGGAGCCUGAACCAGCCAAGUCGCGUGAGGGAUGACGGCCCUAUGGGUUGUAAACCUCUUUUGCCGGGGAGCAAAGUGCCGCACGUGUGCGGUUUGGAGAGUACCCGGAGAAAAAGCAUCGGCUAACUCCGUGCCAGCAGCCGCGGUAAUACGGAGGAUGCGAGCGUUAUCCGGAUUUAUUGGGUUUAAAGGGUGCGUAGGCGGACGCUUAAGCCAGCGGUAAAAUUGCGGGGCUCAACCUCGUCGAGCCGUUGAAACUGGGUGCCUUGAGUGGGCGAGAAGUACGCGGAAUGCGUGGUGUAGCGGUGAAAUGCAUAGAUAUCACGCAGAACUCCGAUUGCGAAGGCAGCGUACCGGCGCCCAACUGACGCUGAAGCACGAAGGCGUGGGUAUCGAACAGGAUUAGAUACCCUGGUAGUCCACGCAGUAAACGAUGAAUGCUAGUUGUCCGGGGCGAUUGAGUUCUGGGUGACACAGCGAAAGCGUUAAGCAUUCCACCUGGGGAGUACGCCGGCAACGGUGAAACUCAAAGGAAUUGACGG